UUGCUUCAGGAGCACAUAUACUAAAAUUGGAAUGAUAACAGAGAAGGUUAUCAUGGCCCCUGCACAAAUGUGCAAAGGAUGUGUACAUGCAUCAAGAACUAUAA